rnacentral:rRNA from 1 species
CCUACGGGUGUCAGCAGUGGGGAAUAUUGCACAAUGGGGGAAACCCUGAUGCAGCGACGCCGCGUGAAGGAAGAAGUAUUUCGGUAUGUAAACUUCUAUCAGCAGGGAAGAACAUGACGGUACCUGACUAAGAAGCCCCGGCUAACUACGUGCCAGCAGCCGCGGUACUACGUAGGGGGCAAGCGUUAUCCGGAUUUACUGGGUGUAAAGGGAGCGUAGGCGGUGCAGCAAGUUAGAAGUGAAAGCCCUGGGCGCAACUCCGGGACUGCUUUUGAAACUGUUGAACUAGAUUGCAGGAGAGGUAAGGGGAAUUCAUAGUGUAGCGGUGAAAUGCGUAGAUAUUAGGAGGAACACCAGUGGCGAAGGCGGCUUACUGAACUGUAAAUGACGCUGAGGCUCGAAAGCGUGGGGAGCAAACAGGAUUAGAUACCCUGGUAGUC